GACGAACGCUGGCGGCGUGCUUAACACAUGCAAGUCGAACGGAAAGGCCCUGCUUUUGUGGGGUGCUCGAGUGGCGAACGGGUGAGUAACACGUGGGUAACCUGCCCUUGACUUUGGGAUAACUUCAGGAAACUGGGGCUAAUACCGGAUAGGAGCUCCUGCUGCAUGGUGGGGGUUGGAAAGUUUCGGCGGUUGGGGAUGGACUCGCGGCUUAUCAGCUUGUUGGUGGGGUAGUGGCUUACCAAGGCUUUGACGGGUAGCCGGCCUGAGAGGGUGACCGGCCACAUUGGGACUGAGAUACCGCCCAGACUCCUACGGGAGGGAGCAGUGGGAAAUAUUGCACAAUGGGCGGAAGCCUGAUGCAGCAACGCCGCGUGCGGGAUGACGGCCUUCGGGGUAUAAACCGCUUUCGCCUGUGACGAAUCGUGAGUGACGGUAAUGGGUAAAGAAGCACCGGCUAACUACGUG
rnacentral:rRNA from 1 species